rfam:Lactobacillus sp. wkB8, complete genome.
GAGAACAAGAAGAAGCUUCCCGCUUCUCGCCUAAGUUAAGUAAACCUCUGGGCUGAUCGAUAUUUUCUGUUGAUUAUGGGCGGGUAGAACUAUACCCGUCUUUUUCUUGUCCU